rnacentral:rRNA from 1 species
CCUACGGGAGGCAGCAGUGGGGAAUUUUGGACAAUGGACGCAAGUCUGAUCCAGCCAUGCCGCGUGCGGGAAGAAGGCCUUCGGGUUGUAAACCGCUUUGUCAGGGAAGAAACGGGUUUCUCUAAUACAGAGACCUAAUGACGGUACCUGAAGAAUAAGCACCGGCUAACUACGUGCCAGCAGCCGCGGUAAUACGUAGGGUGCAAGCGUUAAUCGGAAUUACUGGGCGUAAAGCGUGCGCAGGCGGUUAUGCAAGACAGAUGUGAAAUCCCCGGGCUCAACCUGGGAACUGCAUUUGUGACUGCAUGGCUAGAGUACGGUAGAGGGGGAUGGAAUUCCGCGUGUAGCAGUGAAAUGCGUAGAUAUGCGGAGGAACACCGAUGGCGAAGGCAAUCCCCUGGACCUGUACUGACGCUCAUGCACGAAAGCGUGGGGAGCAAACAGGAUUAGAUACCCUGGUAGUCCACGCCCUAAACGAUGUCAACUGGUUGUUGGGAGGGUUUCCUUCUCAGUAACGAAGCUAACGCGUGAAGUUGACCGCCUGGGGAGUACGGCCACAAGGUUGAAACUUAAAGGAUUGACGGCUGNGAGNGCGACGACGACGACGAGGAGGAGG